UACGUAGGUGGCAAGCGUUGUCCGGAAUUAUUGGGCGUAAAGCGCGCGCAGGUGGUUUCUUAAGUCUGAUGUGAAAGCCCACGGCUCAACCGUGGAGGGUCAUUGGAAACUGGGGAACUUGAGUGCAGGAGAGAAGAGUGGAAUUCCACGUGUAGCGGUGAAAUGCGUAGAGAUGUGGAGGAACACCAGUGGCGAAGGCGGGUCUCUGGGCAACUCCUGACGCUGAGGCGCGAAAGCGUGGGGAGCAAACGGG
rnacentral:rRNA from 1 species